CCUACGGGGAGCAGCAGUGAGGAAUAUUGGUCAAUGGACGGAAGUCUGAACCAGCCAUGCCGCGUGCAGGAAGACGGCUCUAUGAGUUGUAAACUGCUUUUGUACAAGGGUAAACCUGAAUACGUGUAUUCAGCUGAAAGUACUGUACGAAUAAGGAUCGACUAACUCCGUGCCAGCAGCCGCGGUAAUACGGAGGAUCCAAGCGUUAUCCGGAUUUAUUGGGUUUAAAGGGUGCGUAGGCGGAUUGAUAAGUUAGAGGUGAAAUGUCCGAGCUUAACUCGGGAACUGCCUCUAAUACUGUUGAUCUAGAGAGUAGAUGCGGUAGGCGGAAUGUAUGGUGUAGCGGGGAAAUGCUUAGAGAUCAUACAGAACACCGAUUGCGAAGGCAGCUUACCAAUCUAUAUCUGACGUUGAGGCACGAAAGCGUGGGGAGCAAACAGGAUUAGAUACCCCAGUAGUC
rnacentral:rRNA from 1 species